UGACUGCAGAGGGAUGAACAUUUGCUAUCUAGUUUAAUAUAUCCCAGUUCAGGUAAUAGAAAAAAUUUGACAACCAUCAUGGAAAUAUUGUUUCCUUGGUUGUAGGAGUUGUUUCCUGGCAAAGCUCAAGCAACAGAGGAAGGGAGUGGAAAUGUGAUGGCACCUGAUUUCUACGUUUUCUCACUUUUAGGAGAGACAGACUGAGGCAAAAUCCUGAACAGUUUGGUCAGUGUGAUACAAUACUUCUACUACAAAAAAUUCCAGGGAUAUAUGGUUUCUUAUUUUCCUCUUCCAGUGUUUUUGGACCACUGUGAUAUGUCAGCUGUGUUCCAAGCUGUUUUGGACAAAGAGGGAGUGUUUACUGGCUACCAGCAAUGUUGGUGAGAAUCUGCUUCCUGUCCUCUGUGCAGGAAUAUUUUGCUGAUUUGCAAAAGGCUGAAAAAUAUGUAAUCAGAAUAAGGAACUAUCCAUAGUACCUGCAUGCACAUGGGUGCAGACAGAUUUGCUGUAGGAACAUCUGGCUUUUUUCUUCAACAGGAGAGAAUCCAAAGAGGAGAAAAACAACUAGACAAAAUAUCUUAGUUAUGAAUUGUCAUUUAAUAA